CCACCCCCACCCCCGACACGCUCUUGUUGCCCCCUCCUGCUCCUCUCGCUUUCUGCAUCCUUCUCUUUGGCACUGUGAAACCAACUAUGUCCACGCGGAGUUUGUGUGCAUGUGUGAUGUGUGCGCGCGUGAGUGCGCAGGGAAAAACUUGAGGCACGUCCACGCCAGCCGCAACCACCUUUGCCAACAUCAAACCGGGCAGCUCCCAUCUGACUUGGUCUCUGAUAGCCGCCAACGCCACGCCACUUCGAGAUUGACGGACAAUUAAAGAGCGGGAGGCGACGGCCGGGCCGUGUGAUGUGUAAGGGCUCCUCCGACAUCUAAAAUGAAGAGUUAGCAUUUUUUUGUUUUUUCUGAUCCCUUUCGCGAGGACAAGAAGGAGAACAAGCUAGCCCGGGCACAAACAAAUGUUUGCACUGGAGAGCUAUUGAUUUGCCCUCUUCUCAGCUAUUCACUGACACACACAUACACACGGAUACAAACAUCCGCAUGUGAAAUGAAGCCACUGAUGCUGGAUUGAGUCAAUAAAGAAUUUAAAACAACUUUGCACUCUGCAGACCUUCACUGACAACUGGACUUCACUUUAUUAGGGACACCUUCCCGCUCGCCACCACAUCAGCAGCCAAUGUCGCAAAGAAUCAAUUUGACAAAUAAAAAAAGGCUUCUGAUCCGGGGCUCUGAUAGAUCCCGCCAGGAAACUUUUUACUUGCAGAGAAAAAGAAAGAGCCCAACUUUAUCGCUUGCCCCAAUGAAUAAUUGACAGUGUCUCCGCUGAAUAAUUAAUCAAACAUUUGAAUAAUUGUUGUAUCUCUCAUCUCAACAUUCAUUUGCAUAUUGCCGUGCUCUUAAUACGAGUGCACAUCCUCUCAGGACACAAAGAAAAAACAAAAAAACAAAAAAA